CAGAGGGGGCAAGCGUUGUUCGGAAUUACUGGGCGUAAAGGGCGCGUAGGCGGCCUUCUAAGUCGAACGUGAAAUCCCCGGGCUCAACCCGGGAACUGCGUCCGAUACUGGAAGGCUUGAAUCCGGGAGAGGGAUGCGGAAUUCCAGGUGUAGCGGUGAAAUGCGUAGAUAUCUGGAGGAACACCGGUGGCGAAGGCGGCAUCCUGGACCGGCAUUGACGCUGAGGCGCGAAAGCCAGGGGAGCAAACGGGAUUAGAUACCCCGGUAGUCCUGGCCCUAAACGAUGAAUGCUUGGUGUGGCGGGUAUCGAUCCCUGCCGUGCCGAAGCUAACGCAUUAAGCAUUCCGCCUGGGAGUACGGUCGCAAGGCUG
rnacentral:rRNA from 1 species